CAGGCCUAACACAUGCAAGUCGAACGAUUGCCUUCGGGUGAUAGUGGCGCACGGGUGCGUAACGCGUGGGAAUCUGCCCCUUGGUUCGGGAUAACCGUUGGAAACGACGGCUAAUACCGGAUGAUGACGUAAGUCCAAAGAUUUAUCGCCCAGGGAUGAGCCCGCGUAGGAUUAGCUAGUUGGUGGGGUAAAGGCCUACCAAGGCGACGAUCCUUAGCUGGUCUGAGAGGAUGAUCAGCCACACUGGGACUGAGACACGGCCCAGACUCCUACGGGAGGCAGCAGUGGGGAAUAUUGGACAAUGGGCGCAAGCCUGAUCCAGCAAUGCCGCGUGAGUGAUGAAGGCCUUAGGGUUGUAAAGCUCUUUUACCCGGGAUGAUAAUGACAGUACCGGGAGAAUAAGCUCCGGCUAACUCCGUGCCAGCAGCCGCGGUAAU
rnacentral:rRNA from 1 species